rnacentral:rRNA from 1 species
GACGAACGCUGGCGGCGUGCUUAACACAUGCAAGUCGAACGGAAAGGCCCUGCUUUUGUGGGGUGCUCGAGUGGCGAACGGGUGAGUAACACGUGAGUAACCUGCCCUUGACUUUGGGAUAACUUCAGGAAACUGGGGCUACUACCGGAUAGGAGCUCCUGCUGCAUGGUGGGGGUUGGAAAGUUUCGGCGGGUGGGGAUGGACUGGCGGCUUAUCAGCUUGUUGGUGGGGUAGUGGCUUACCAAGGCUUUGACGGGUAGCCGGCCUGAGAGGGUGACCGGCGACAAGGGGACUGAGAGAGGCCCAAGAGGCAAAUGGGAGGCAAGGGGGGGAAGUAUGAAACAGGGGGAGAGCGUGGGUGGAGGAGGCCCCGGGGGGGGGAAGCCGGUUUGUGGGGAGAAAACAGCUGUAGCUUGAGACGACGCGGGAGUGACGGUAGUGGAAAAAGAAGCACCGGCUAACUUCGUG